rnacentral:rRNA from 1 species
UACGGGGGGGGCAAGCGUUGUUCGGAAUUACUGGGCGUAAAGGGCUCGUAGGCGGCCAACUAAGUCAGACGUGAAAUCCCCAGGCUCAACCUGGGAACUGCGUCUGAUACUGGAUGGCUUGAAUCCGGGAGAGGGAUGCAGAAUUCCAGGUGUAGCGGUGAAAUGCGUAGAUAUCGGGGGGAACACCAGUGGCGAAGGCGGCUCUCUGGGGUGCACCUGACGCUGAUGCGCGAAAGCGUGGGGAGCGAACCGG